CGCCGACAUGGCCCGACAGCAGCCGCAUGCCGUUCGGGUCGGCGAUCGAAUAGGUGCCGUUCGGGCCGGCCGUCAGCGUC
rnacentral:tRNA from 1 species